GAUGAAGAACGUAGCGAAAUGCGAUAAGUAAUGUGAAUUGCAGAAUUCAGUGAAUCAUCGAAUCUUUGAACGCACAUUGCGCCCGCCAGUAUUCUGGCGGGCAUGCCUGUCUGAGCGUCAUUUCAACCCUCAUGCCCCUAGGGCGUGGUGUUGGGGAUCGGCCAAAGCCCGCGAGGGACGGCCGGCCCCUAAAUCUAGUGGCGGACCCGUCGUGGCCUCCUCUGCGAAGUAGUGAUAUUCCGCAUCGGAGAGCGAUGAGCCCCUGCCGUUAAACCCCCAACUUUCCAAGGUUGACCUCAGAGCAGGUAGGAAUACCCGCUGAACUUAAGCAUAUCAAUAAGCGGAGGA
rnacentral:misc_RNA from 1 species